CACGUGAAAAUUUGGUUGGAAUGUCACAUUGAAAAUACGUCUUUAAAUUACGUGAAUAACUCGUCUUCAAUAGACGUGUUAUUUACCUUAAAUAGCAAUAAAAUCUUUCGGGAAAUUCACGUUGCAAAUACGUGUUGAUUAACAUAUCUUUUAGGGAAUGUAUAUAUUAGUAUUCACGUGAAAGAUACGUCCUCGGUUCACGUAAAUAAUUCGACCUUAAUUAACUUAUGAAUCACGUAAUUAUUAUCCUCAUAAUAUGAUAUAAAUAAAACAAGCAUAUAAAGUAUUAACAAUGUAUUUAUUUAGUAGAAUUUAGAGACUUUAAAACAUUUGUCCUGUAUAAUUAUUAUACAAGAUAAUGAACAAAAAAUGGUACCGACCUAAAGACAUAUUAAAAAAUUUGCCAACACAAAACACAACACAGGUAACUUUUAAUUUCGAGGAGGACACUUCGACACUUUCUUGUUUUUUCUAAUUGCAUCAUGGCACUUCAACCCUCGAGCAGUGAGGUAAACGUUAAUACGAAAGACAUUAUUAUAAAUAAACCCGCCUAAAAUAAAACGAGGGAAAUAAAACUCUUCACGUUUCACUUUUUGUUGUGAGAAAUGUGAGAAGCUGAUAUUAGAGGUUAUGAUCAUCGAUUAUUAAAAUCGACUAUUUUUAAAUUACAGUUAAACUAUUCUACUUACUUUAAAUUAGUAUUACGUAUUUUCUUUUUGUUUUUAAAUUUCUUCUACUAUUAACUAAUUGGUCUUACUAAAAAUCUAUUUCAAUACCAGAAUAAUAUAAAAAAAAUAAUCCUAUCGUAACGUAUCUAUUAUUCGAUAAAUCGAUUAAUUUAGUUUUCGAACCAACUAUGUUAGUCACGUACCGUGGUCACGUGAUAGUAUUUAAAGGAGGAGAAAGGCUUGGUAGUACGUCAUCACCGCGCGUGAUGUGAAAAUUAGACUCAGCAUCAUUUUAGCUCCUGUGAUAGUUUUAAAAAAAAAAUAGCAAAAAUAGCUUCAAAUCAAGGUUGGAUUGAAAUAGUUAUGUUAAAUGAUUUUAAAAGCGAAAUCAUAAACUUUUUGUUUAAAUAUUAUUAUUAUUUACAUUACUUUUACGUGAAAUACAUCUAAUUUUGCGACGUCCAUAAAAUACAGUGAGUAACAUUCAAGCGAUACGUAUUUAACCAACACCGUUGUAAAAUUUUGUUUUUCAAAAUAUUUCUCAAAAUUUAACCAAAGGAAGUUAUUUCUGUUUUGUGAUUAUUACGUGAAAUAAACGUACCUUUGCGAUGUAACCGACAUUCACACCUAUUAUAAAAAACAUGUACUAUAUUCGUCAUUAUGAUUUUAUAUUAUUCUAAUGUCAAACAUGUAUAAAGGAAGCACUAAUAUAUAGGUGAAUGAUUUGGCACUGAAAUACGUUUUUUUCCCGUCAUAAAUCACCGAGUUAUGUAUUCGUUUAAAUUUGCCGUAAAUUUAACGUAAUAAUCACGUAAUUGGGCUCAAACCUGUUUGCUGGGGACGCAAUUACUCAAAAUAUGUUCUUAUUUUUUUAAUAACAAAAUAAUAGUUUAUUCGCCGAAAAGCUCGAAAUAAUGCGCUAUCUACAGCAAGUAUGUAGUCUUUUUCAUAGUAUUUUUAUACGCUAAAUCGAUUAUUGCUAGUCAUGAUGGCUUAAACCACGUUCCGACUGUUUUAUUAAUAAAUUAUUGCAAAAAUAACGGUUUAUAGUACGUUCACUCACGGUUUUUGCUCUAAAUUUUAAAAAACCACUUGGAUUAACAUGAAAUUUGGCAUACACGUAGCUAACAUCUAACAUGUCAAACAACACAAGUGAUAUUGUGCCGAUGUCUGCUUUUACCCUGGGGGUGAGUUUCACCCCUUUUUGGGGGUGAAAAAAGAAACCUUUAAAAUAAGUGUCCGGAAGUGGAUAAACUGAUUAAUUCUAAGCAACUUUUGUUCUAUACAGUUUUUUCACUAAGUCAAUAUUUUUCGAGUUAUUUUGUUUUUUGUUGAAAAAUGAACAUAUUCACUUGCAAAUAGCUCGAAAAGUGUUGACUUAGUGAAAAAAUUGUGUAGAACCAACGUUGCUUAGAAUUAAUCAGUUUAUCCAAUUCCGGACUUAUUUUAAAGGUUUCUUCUUUCACCCCCGAAACGGGGUGAAACUCACAGUCAGGGUUAAAGCACACAUCGGCACAAUAUCACUUGUUUUGUUUGACAUGUUAGCUACGUGCAUGCCAAAUUUCAUGUCAUUCCAAGUGGUUUUUUAAAAUUUAAAAUAGUAUGAAAAAGACUAUAAACUUGCUAUAGAUAACGCAUUUCGAGCUUUUCUUUGUUAUUAACAAAAUAAGAACACGUUUUGAGUAAUCGCGACUAGUCGCAUUAGAUUCAGCGACCAAAAAUACACCAGAUAAGACCUUAACACUAUCAAUUUAUUUACAGGGCUUCUAAUAAUUCCUGAAAAACACCUAAUUUUACCAUAAUUUGUUAAUAACAAUUAAACGCACCAUCUUUGGGCCUCCAUUGGAAACCAUUGGAUUCAGCGACCCACCUGUAAAAACCUAUAAUGCCACCAUCAAAUCGCGGCGAACUAAAAGUGUCCACGGGACCCCCUAUGUUGCGACUAGACUAUGUAGACUGACCAAUUUUAGAAAGACGUGUUGAUUCCAUAUGCAAUUAACAGUUCGGUCACUAAAAAAACGACAAGACAAAGGUAAGCAAUAUUAAUUGGAGUUUCUGGGAUUGAUAUAAUAUGUCAGUUAGUGUGUCUAGUCGUUUACGUCUACAGAACCUUUUCGGGUGUAUAAUCGCGAUUUUUUGCUGGUAGGUUUCCGUCACUCAUAUGCAGGGGUGGGCAAAUACUUUUAAGCGCGGGCCAAAAUAAAAUUUUCAAAAUGUCUCCCGGGCCGGAGGACUAUACCCAGUAUGUACGCUAAUGUUUUUGGUAGAGGUUUUUCUCUGCCCAAGAAAUCUGUUUGACAAAAAUACUAUAAGUAUCAUUUUAAAGCAUUUGGAGAAAGACAUUUGACUGUUAAUAAUAAUAAAUUAUCUUUCUGGUGUGUAAAUGUACAUGCGAACAAUUUGUUCCCAGUGAAACUACGAAAUUUUUAAUAUGGUCCAUUAUAUUAAGCCAUGACAAGGAUCCAGAUAAAAAAUGAACUUCAGAAAUUCGAUCAAGAAUAGAGUAAUCAAGAGCAGCCUUUUUGAAGAUAAGGAAAUUUUUGAGUAACCAAAGAUUCAAUCUGCAAAUCUGAUAUCGGAUGGUAAAAUUUUAUGUCAAGUCAACCAUCAUAGACGAAAUUCAAAGGAGGCAACGGAUCUGGUAUGGUCAUGUACGACGUCAAUGGACGACCGCCGGCUGCCAAAACAAAUUUUAAAAUUGACGCCAAGGAAAAGAAAGAAGAAAGGAACGCCAAAACAAUCCUGGCUAGGCGGUAUUCAGAAGCAAUGUUGGAAAGGAACAUUCACCCUGACGAAUGCAAUGACGGACGAAGCUGGAAACUGGCAACCGGAAAGCGGAAAACGCUAUAAUUAAGAGGGAUAAUAAUAAAAAUGUUAUUUCCACUCUAUUCUUCUUUAUUGGAUUGUUAAUGCUGACUUAAUGAAAAGCUGCAAGCUUUUGAGAUGUGGCUUUUUAGGGAAAUUGUGAAAAUACCAUGGUUCGAUCACAUUACGAACGAAAUGGUGUUAAACAGAAUGGAAAAGGAACAGAGAACUUUUGACCAUCGUUAAAAGGAGAAAGACAGCAAGGAGAAAGGGUAACGUAUCAAGGGGUAUCAUACUUAGAAAUGAUAACGUAAGUUCUUUUUUUUUCACCUCUGUGAUAAACAUUAUGGAAGUUUUCAGGGACUUUUGGCCCUCAGUAAUAAUGUAAUAUUUCAUUCUGCGUUUAAAUUUUUCAAAAAUACUUAUUAGUUUUCUCAGGAAUCGAAAAAUAUGAAUGCAUUAAAAAAAAUACCUUGCACCUACGUUUUUAAAAAAAUUGCUUGCAGGAUUUCUAAAUGGGCCGGAUAAAGUAAGCAAAAGGGCCGGAUCCGAGCCGGCCCACCUCUGCUCAAAUGUCUUCUAUGGUCGGUUGCUAUGUAAACAUGGGACUUUUCUCUUCUUAGAACAGUCUUCUUUCUCGCAUGCGUUAAAUAUGUCCAUUUCGCACAUCAAUCUAUCAUAGUAUUUUACAUUUUGCUAAAGAAAUCUUGUAUACUAAUUUUUUCUCAUAAAAGGGACAUAAAUUACCAGCCUAGGAAUAAGUAAUCCUCUCUGUUAAUGUCCGCAGUUGCCUCAGGUUCUUUCUAAUUUUUUCCUUCGCCUUCUUCAUUCUAUAGUGUACUCUGUGAUUUUUUGGUACUCUUAUUUCUUCGCAAUAUAUCAAUUUUCUUUGCUUCAAUAUGGGUGUUGUAAAUAAUAUAGAAAAAAAUAAUUAUGUUUUGUUUUUAUGCACAAAAUUUGUAUUAAUUUUUAAUUUGAUUAAGUACACAACUAAAAAGACAUUUAUUAUUUUAACGUCACUUUUGAACAUAUUUAAAAAAUAUCGUUCAAACAGAGAGAUGUUAUUAUCCAACAAGCGAGGAAAAAUUCAGCAUAGUUUUAAAAUGACGUCCAUUGAGACUUUGAAUUAGAACAAUGUGUCAUUAUUGUACAGUAAAGAUAAUGUUUAAACACUACAGUAACGGGUUUGCUAUGUAUUAGUAAAGGUUCUUUAUAGUCAUACAAUAUGUGUAGUUAGUAUUCUUACUAUAUUAUGUGUACAAAAUAAAAACUGUUGCAUAAACUUUGGACUAAAUGUAUAAGUAAAAUGUUUACAAUGGUUAGAAAAAGCUGAUUUUUAAAUUUUACAUUGUGUUUUCAAAUUUGACUUGCUCAUUUCAAAAUUUCUUUUUUACAGUUUUGUAGAAUCAUAUUUUAGUAGACUGGGUGUGAUAAAAGGGAGAAAAUCAUCAAUACGCCAAAAUUAAUGUGUCGUGUGAUUUUGUAAAAGAAAAAAACUGGUUAUCUAAGUAUACGAGGUUUAAGUUCAAGUAUUGUUGGUGUAGCAUCACAGUCACAGGGUGCUAAAUCUGGCAAAUAAGGCUUCAUAUAAUAAAAAGGGCAGUGAAGAUCAGUGUGAAAAUUACAGAGGAAUUGCGGUAAACAGCACAAUAAGUAGGAUGUAUAGGAAACUUAUUAAGAACCAAAUAGAAAAUGACUAAAGAGAUUACGAAGCAGAGGAGCAAGCUGGCUAUAGAGCUGGGCGGUCCACAAUAGACCACCUGUACUCUAUUACGCAAGUUAUUGAGAAAAAAACAGCCGUCAAUAAAGAAGUUCACCUGUUGUACGUAAACUUACAAAAAGCAUAUGACCGUGUACCGCUCAGCAAACUAUGGUCAACCCUACAUCAAACAAACAUUAAACAUGGUCUUAUCAAAGCAGUCCAAAGUCUGUAAUGGAACGACUGCAAAAAUUAAAACUGGAUCAAGGAUGUCUGAGGAAUUUAAGGUCAUAAAAAGAUUGAAACACGGUUGUUGUAUUUCGCCUACCCUUUUUAAAAUUUAUUUGGAACAAGCACUCAAGCUGUGGAAAAGAAAAUAAUGUAGUGGCAUGGGAAACCCUCUCAAUGACAAAACAACACUAUACACUUUAUGUUUUGCUGAUGACCAAAUUCUGAUUGCUCAGGAUCAUGACGACUUGAGUUACAUGACGCAGAAGCUAAUAAAAGAAUAUAACAAAUGGGGUCUCGAAGUCAACAUUAAGAAAACUGAAGCCAUGUGUGUUGGAGGGACAAAGCAUUCCAUUACAUUAGACGAUGGGGUAGAAAUUAAACACUGUGAUGAAUACAAAUACCUGGACAUGAAGAUAACUCAAGAUGAAACACUCGAUGUUGCAAUAAAAGACAGAAACAUACAGGGUAGAAAAGUCAUAUUCAUGAUGAACGAUAUUCUGUAGGACCAAACAUUAUCUAAAGCCAACAAACAGCUCAUAUGUAAUAUCAUACUUAAAAGUGUAAUCACAUAAUAUGGCAGUGAAGUUUUGCCACUAAAACAAAGAAAGAAGAAAAUGAUACUAGUAACAGAAAUGGACUUCUGGAGAAAAGCAGCAGGCAAAUUAAUAAGAGAUCGGAUACCAAAUGAGAGAAUACGAGAAAUGACGCGAGUCACACACACAAUAAUUGAUGACAUAAAAACAAAACAACUAGUAUGGUACGGCCAUGUACAGAGAAUGCCAGAUGACAGGAUCCCUAAACAGAUUUUGACGUGGACACCAAAAGGAAGAAGAAAAAGAGGAAGGCCGAGAAGAAGCUGGAGAGAGAGAAUUGAAAAAGGACUAGAAGAAAGAGAAAUCCCCCAGGUCUAUGGAUAAACAGAGAAGAAUGACGGUUAGGAGUCGGAAGGCGUCGAAGAACGCUGUAAACCGAUAGUAGUAGUAGUAUAAUAAAAUGUUUGUACUGACACCUUGUUCUGGAUGAAACAAGGUGUCGGACACAAGGUGGUGUAUACCUUCUACAUAUAGUCAAUUUGCCUGUUUGAUAGACAAAUUAUUCUUUACAAAUAGAAAUUAUGCUAAUAGGUUUAUAGGAUUUUGGUUCCUAUGGACGACGUUUCUCACUCUUACGUACACUCAAUCUUACUCUCAAUCAUACACUAAUCUUUUGGUAUUUUUUUGGAAUAUUGUCUAAUUUGUUUGGUCGCAACUACUAUAUGGGCUAGAAGCUUGGACUCUGAAAGACCAAUUCGUAAGCAAAUUGGAAGCAUUGGAAAUGUGGCUAUAUAGGACAGUAUUCUAAAAAAUCCUUGAACUGCAAAAAUCUCAAACUAAGAAGUGUUAAAAACGAUUUGGACAUGGCAGAUAGCUUAUGAAAAUGUACAAUUAAAAUAAGAAAAACAUCGUAUCUGGGCCACACACUUCGAAACGAUAAAUACUCUCUGCUACACGUCAUCAUGCAAGGAAGAGUAGAGGGAAGAAAUGGCUUGGGAAGCAAGAAGAAAUCUUGGCUGAGGAAUAUCAGUGAUUGGACUAACGUCAGUGUUGAACAUAUAUUUCACAUUGCCAAAGAUAGAGAAGCGUUUAAAGAAAUGAUCGCCAACAUUCGUUAGAUGAUGGUACAAUAUAAGAAGAAGAACCCUAAUUUAAAAUACGUUGAAACGGCGUUGAAUAUUUUGAGUACGUGAGCGAUUGUAACUGGGCUAUAAAGAUAUGAUCCUCCCCAGGACAUUUUUAAGGCUUUCAACUAAGGCUGUUCAAACUAUUUAAUGAUCUCAAUGUAACAAAUUUUUUACCAAGAAACUAUGUACUCAAACGGCUUCCUUUUUAGUUCCUGUGGAGUCUUCAAAACUCCAUCAUCCUGAGAUGACCAUCAAAAGAACACCUGAGAAUGAAAAUAAUAUAGCAAUAGACAAGUUACUAUACUAUUGAACGUGUGGAUACAUAUCUGGGCACAGAAAUCAAUCAAAAGAAUUCCGUAACAAGCGAAAUUAAUUCACGUAUUUCCAGUGGAAAUCGUACAUACUAUGCUAAUAAAAGAUUGAUGACAUCGAAAUUACUAGAUAAAAGAACCAAAAUGACUAUCUACAGAACCUUGAUUAGACCCGUUGUAACCUAUGGUUGUGAAACCUGGGUAAUGAUGAAAAAAGAUGAAGCCCAACUCAGAACAUUCGAGAGAAAGAUACUGAGAAAAGUGUAUGGCCCGGAACAAGAGGAAGACGGUACAUGGAGAAUCAGGAGAAACGACGAGGUUAAUGAACUGAAUGAAAGGUAUGAUAUUGUAAGAUUUGUGAAAAGUCAAAGACUGUCAUGGCUAGGACAUGUUCAGCGACAAGAAGAUACGAAAACGACAAAGAAGAUAUUACAGUGGAAGCCGGUAGGAAGGCGAAAAAAAGAAGAAGAAGAAGAAGUCUUCAAAAUGACCACUUUAGCCAGUGGAGUGGUCGCUUUAAAGAUGCAUCGCGGGGGCUAGAUUGGUCAUUGACUCUCAAACGUAUUUCUGAACUUAAUCUUCAUAUAUGACAGUAAGAAAAAUUUUACGAAAUCACAUGACAACUUUAGUAGUAGGUACCUGUAACACACCUUCCUAAUGGUGUAUUAUAUAUCUUCAAACUAUUUUUUCUUGCUUAAUAAUAUUGGCCUAAACAUUAAUAAUUCGAUAAAAACAAAAGUGACGACUGGGUGAGAUAUCUAUCUAUAACCCCGAAAAUAGGUAACACUGUUUAACCUCAGCGACCUCUUAACAAUCUAAAACCAUUUGUCGUGAAAGUAUAAUAGUUUUUAUGUUGUACAGACGUACUAAAGAUAUAUUUGUUUAAAUAAUAUGCAGCCAAUGUAUAUAAAUAUUGUACAUAAGAAUAACCAAAGAAAAUGUCUUGUAUAGAUUAAUAAAAAUUGUUUUCCUGUAUAAUAAAUAAAAUAAUCAUAAAAAUAUUA